GUUUUGUUUCGUUUUUCUUGAAUAGUCCCACAUCAUUUGUAUGUGCAAUAUAUUCAUAAAACGUUCCUCUUAAUUCAUAGUUUUCUUUUCUUUCCUCUAAGGAGACUUUACUUGGAUGAGCUGGGGUAUUCUAGCAACAAUAAUAAUGGCCUCCAUGCUAGGACUGCUACUGAUCAUUACACUAGUUUGGUGUCUUUUGAGAAAAAGAUCUAACACUGAAGAACAAAAAGAGAAAACCAAUGGGUAUAAGCUGGCUGGGAAAGAAGAAAACAUCUCCAAAGUAUAACCUCUCAACAUCU
rnacentral:lncRNA from 1 species